AAAACUAUGCUUUCAGAGAUGGUUUCUUCAGUUGUUGAUUUGCGAAAUGUGUUUCUAGAGAGUUUGGUCUCGCUGCCCUUGAUGAAGAGUUGAGAUGUUUCCUUCAGAGCAGGACGCUGGAGGUAAGACUUUGUUUGUUCUUUACUGUUCAUGAUUGUCCAGAGCUUUUCAGUGAGACUCUGAAGGAGGAAACAUGAUCUGAGUGGA
rnacentral:snoRNA from 1 species